rnacentral:rRNA from 1 species
CCUACGGGUGGCAGCAGUGAGGAAUAUUGGUCAAUGGACGCGAGCCUGAACCAGCCAAGUAGCGUGAAGGAUGACUGCCCUAUGGGUUGUAAACUUCUUUUAUAUGGGAAUAAAAUGUUGCACGUGUGGCAUUUUGUAUGUACUUUAUGAAUAAGGAUCGGCUAACUCCGUGCCAGCAGCCGCGGUAAUACGGAGGAUCCGAGCGUUAUCCGGAUUUAUUGGGUUUAAAGGGAGCGUAGGUGGGUUGUUAAGUCAGUUGUGAAAGUUUGCGGCGCAACCGUAAAAUUGCAAUUGAUACUGGCAGUCGUGAGUACAGUUGAGGUAGGCGGAAUUCGUGGUGUAGCGGUGAAAUGCUUAGAUAUCACGAAGAACUCCGAUUGCGAAGGCAGCUUACUAAACUGCCACUGACACUGAGGCUCGAAAGUGUGGGUAUCAAACAGGAUUAGAUACCCCGGUAGUC